GACGAACGCUGGCGGCGUGCCUAAUACAUGCAAGUAGAACGCUGAAGCUUGGUUCUUGCACCGAGCGGAUGAGUUGCGAACGGGUGAGUAACGCGUAGGUAACCUGCCUGGUAGCGGGGGAUAACUAUUGGAAACGAUAGCUAAUACCGCAUAAGAGUAGAUGUUGCAUGACAUUUGCGUAAAAGGUGCAAUUGCAUCACUACCAGAUGGACCUGCGUUGUAUUAGCUAGUUGGUGAGGUAACGGCUCACCAAGGCAACGAUACAUAGCCGACCUGAGAGGGUGAUAGGCCACACUGGGACUGAGACACGGCCCAGACUCCUACGGGAGGCAGCAGUAGGGAAUCUUCGGCAAUGGACGGAAGUCUGACCGAGCAACGCCGCGUGAGUGAAGAAGGUUUUCGGAUCGUAAAGCUCUGUUGUAAGAGAAGAACGAGUGUGAGAGUGGAAAGUUCACACUGUGACGGUAUCUUACCAGAAAGGGACGGCUAACUACGUG
rnacentral:rRNA from 1 species